ACACUCAUCAACAGAUGGCGCAUCAAUGUCCGUUUGUGACUUAAUACAAUAUUCCAAAGGAAAACUCUCCAAGAGAGACCAUAACCUCACUUGCUGUUAUGACACUUUUGCAGUGCAGCGUAAAAUAUACGUGUAUAAAUAGUACCUUCUAUAAAUUGUGUAUUCUGUCUAAUUAGCAACUGCAGUGCACAGUGACAAAAGUAUCGGAAAAAUAGCCAAGUAAUGUCAUUGGGCAUUAUCAAACACAAGUAUUCAUGAUAUAUGCAACAUUACGGAACAACAAUGUAUGGAGAGAAUCUCUCAAGGCUAUCAUAUGAAAACUUCAAUAUCAGCCACAAAGAAGCACUCGCAACCAUAAAAGAAUGUCACGCAGACCUACACAUAUCAUGACGGCCAAAAUGAAUGAGAAGAAUACAGUAACGCAAGUAUCAGUAAGAUACCCAAGUAAUGUCAUUGGGACAUUAUCAAACAUAAGUAUUCAUGAUAUAUGCAACAUUGCGGAACGACAAUGUAUGGAGAGAAUCUCCCAAGGCUACCAUAAUAUGAAAUAUAAAACUUCAACAUCAGUCACAAAGAGGCACACGCAACCAUAAAAUGUCACGCAGACCUACACAUAUCAUGGCGCAAGAGUUUAUAGUCUCUCUAAUUUAACAGGAAUGAGUAAAGUUAUAGGUUGUCAUUAUCAAUCUUAUCAUAUCACAUAAGGCCAAAAUGAAUGAGAAAAUCAUAAAGUUCAAAGUUCAUAAUUCAAUUGAUAAGGCAACCGCACAACCUCAGAGCAGAAAAUAAAUGCCUCGAUGAUGAAGACUCCACAUAAUACUCAUAAUCUGUGAUCUAAUCCCAAAGGACACAGCAUGUUCCAUACAUACUGGGCAUCAAAACCUCUGAGACAAGAUGCAUCAAUGGAGCCAUUAUUCACCCUCAGAUGACAAUCACAGUACUUAAAGAGAACUCCACCUCAUAGCCUGCAAGUCAAUCCCAGGGAGGACAGCAAUUCCAUUCAAUCAGGACACCAUGACCUCUGACACGAUUCCAAAUGCAUCAACGGGGCCACUAAUCAUCCUUCAGUGACAGAUGUACAUCCUCCGCUCCAACAGUCACUUAUCACACAUAUCUUGCGUAACAUAUAUCAAUUAUUUAGUUCAAUCAGCUUCCUUGUAAAUUUGUCGACGCACUUGGUAUGUAUCAAGCAUAUAAUAUAAUAUGACACAUGAUAUUAAAUUCCAAUCAGUAUUCUUAGCAAAGUUAAUUCAAUAAGUAAAACAAGAGAGUAAUCUUAUCCUAUUUUACUUAUUUAAAUUCAAAUAUUGUAUUGUUCUCGAUACUGUAGAAAUAUUUAUUAUCUAACACUUAGUUAUAAACCAUAUAUUAACCAUAUGCUAAGUUUCUGGUUUAUUUCAGGAUACCACACCGGAGCACAAUUACAGCCUAUAUAUAGUUCCUUCAAUAUUUAAUGAGGAGGAAGAGAAGAAUAAUCAUUCUUUUAUCCUUAUAAAUGCUCAGUGUUGUUCAAUGCACAAGUUAAACAAAACACUCAAGAAAGUCAUUUAUCUCAUUCUUGAAAACAUUCAUAUGCUGCAUAUAAAAGGAAGAAGAAGAAAGAUCCUGCAACCACUCAACAGUCUGCAACCUAUUUCCAUCUUGAGAUGACACGUCACAUAAUCAAGUUUAUCAGCAAUUAAUACACACAGUCGUUAAUAAUGCAUCGAAGUCCAUCACAGGCAAAAUUAAUGAGGAAAAGAAAAGAAUAAUCUUUCUUUUAUCCUUAUAAAUGCUCAACAUUGUUCAAUGCACAAGUUAAACAAAACACUCAAGUAAGUCAUUUAUCUCAUUCUUGAAAAUAAUAAUCAUAUAUUGCAUAUGAAGGAAGAAGAAGAAAGAUCCUGCAACCACUCAAAAAUCUGCAACCUAUUUCCAUCUUGAGAUGACACGUCACAUAAAUCAAGUUUAUCAGCAAUUAAUACCCACAGUUGUUGAGAGAACUAUGUCGUAAAAUCCGUACACAAGUCAUCCAAAACAGUAAUCAAUGUGCAAGACACUACUUUACUUUGCACAGAAGUAACAUAUGUUUUGGACCUCCAAAAAUUAUGAGUUAAGUUGCAAACUAUCUCCUAUUUUCGAUUGUUCAAGGAGAUUGAUUCACAUAAUAAAUUUUUCUUCCACACAAUGUAUAUAAAUAUGCCUAUAAUAGGUUCCAAUUUGUUUCAGAAGAAUUAUCAGAAUCAACACAACACACACCAUUGAAUGCAUCCUGAUCUUCUAUUAUUUUAGUGUAUUAAGAAUUAACUCCCAAUAAAUCCUUUCAAAUAAGUAA